GACGAACGCUGGCGGCGUGCUUAACACAUGCAAGUCGUACGGUAAGGCCCUUUCGGGGGUACACGAGUGGCGAACGGGUGAGUAACACGUGAGUAACCUGCCCACAACUUUGGGAUAACGCUAGGAAACUGGUGCUAAUACUGGAUAUGUGCUCCUGCUGCAUGGUGGGGGUUGGAAAGUUCCGGCGGUUGUGGAUGGACUCGCGGCCUAUCAGCUUGCUGGUGGGGUAGUGGCCUACCAAGGCGGCGACGGGUAGCCGGCCUGAGAGGGUGACCGGCCACAUUGGGACUGAGAUACGGCCCAGACUCCUACGGGAGGCAGCAGUGGGGAAUAUUGCACAAUGGGCGCAAGCCUGAUGCAGCAACGCCGCGUGCGGGAUGACGGCCUUCGGGUUGUAAACCGCUUUCAGCAGGGACGAAGCUUUUUGUGACGGUACCUGCAGAAGAAGCACCGGCUAACUACGUG
rnacentral:rRNA from 1 species